UUAAUUUAGUCCUUACCGUCAUAAAACCGUUUGAAAUAACAGAAUAUUCCAUUAAAAAAUCGAAUAUUCUCAUAAUUUAGUAAAAAAAUUUAAUUAAAAACACCUCUAUUUUUAUAAAAUACCAAAAAUAUCCUUUAUAUUUUUGUCCCCCAAAAUCAGAGAACUCUAACUAUCCCUAGGUUAUUCUCCUAAGUUUCCAAUUGGAUUUCUCCUCCGUCGCACUCGGUUGCUGUCUUCAUGGCGUCAUCGUCGUCCGUCGCUGGGUGGUCGUCGUUCUUCUGCGUCGCCCACAGGUGUUCUGUUCUGCUCCGUUCGUCCGCCUUGCCUAUUGCAUCCCCUCGUCCCGCCUUGUCUCACCGCGCCUCGCGGUGCCUUGCCUCAAAUCGCUGCUCCUCGACUCCGCGUUUUGCUGUCUGGACUGGUUCUGCAACAACAGAGGCAUACAGGUUCUACUUGUAAAAGUUUGGGAUGCAAUCCUCAAGGCAUUGCUGCUGACAGGCUUCGAUGCUUGGUUCCGCAAUACCGAAGAUCGGUGGUAAAAGCAAAAGCCUUAGAUACAACUGAAUGUGCUGCUAUGGUUAAUACCAAUUCCCGCAGAGACUUUCUUGGAUUGGUUUUGGGAAUCUCAAGCCUCUUUGUUGGUUCAUUGGAAGGCAAAGGAGCUGGUUUGCCCCCGUAAGAUAAGCCGAAACUAUGUGAUGAAGCUUGUGAGAAGGAGCUUGAAAAUGUAUGGUGCCUAUGGUAACUACUGAAUCAGGUUUGUAAUACAAGGAUAUUAAAGUUGGACAAGGUCCUAGUCCCCCAGUUGGAUUUCAGCUCGAGAAAGAGAGUGCGAAGGAUAAACUUCUGACGAGAAAGUGCCAGAGAGAGGAAAGAUGAGUGAGAUACUGUGUGCAAUGUGAAUGCUUUGGUGUUGCUUUGUGAUUGUAGGUGGUCCAAAAGCAGCAUGUGCUAGUUGUGCUGGCUUUGCGGCAUUCUCAAUCGUUAUAGAGAAGUUCUUAGACAGGCAUGAGUAGUUUACCUAUUGAAUUGAAGUCACCAAAUUUUGCAUUCAUUAGGCAUAGCAUGGAUUUUCAUAGUGAUAAUCUUUUGCCCAUUUGCUAAAGGGCGCAUAUAAAAUUGUAGUAUUUUAUUUUACAUCGAUUAUUGUUUAUUUGUAUACAAUAUCAAUUAGUGGAUGCAUUCUUCCAAUUCCAAACUAGAUGUAAGUAUGCUCUUAAGUAUUAAUGUAAAGUUUAUUAUAUAAACUGGAUACAUUAUCAUAAUCAAUACUUGAAGGAUGAAAACUGAAUUUUAUA